CCCCCCCCCCCCCAAAAAAAAAGCCACCAAGUUGAGGUCCUACCAGGCACUCCCUGCUAGUCUCCUCUAUUUCCAUUUUAAAAAGUCCACCUGACCCCUGACCUCCCCGCCUCUUGGCUUGAAACUCCUCUCCUCUGCAUGUCCUCGUGUCAAGGUUAGAUGGGUGCAUGGUUUUAAAAAAGGAACAAAAAAAUAAAGAAAAAAAAGAGAAAAGCAGCAGACUAUUCUUUUCCAGACAUUGGAAGUGUAUUUCAUUUAACAUUCAGCAAUAAAAAAUAAGCCCCUUUCCCCUCCCUUUUCCUCCUCCCAUGUCAUUCCUGGAAUAUGCUAGAAAUAAAAGAAACAAUGCGAGAUUGUCAUAGAUUGUAAAAUAAAAUGAAAAAUGAUUCCACCUGUUCAUAUGAGGAAAAUAAAUCUUUAUUCAUAUCAUUUUAUGAUGGAGUUAUUUCUGCAAACGUGUGUGCUCUGCAACGGAAUUUAAUGAAUAGGACUGUGCACAAAAUGACACUUAAUGAAAGAACACACGCAUUUUACGAUUAGAUUAUUUCCCUGCUAAUGAAUAUUGCUUCACCGGAAAGAUUACCGUCAUAAAAACAUGCAUGUCGCAUUGGCUUAAAGUCACCACUAGAUAGCGCCGCACUUCUAAGACCAUACCGCAAUUUGUGGGAGGAAGUGACGUACUUGCUGAGGCACAGUUAUGAGGAAAAACAGUGGAUGUUAUUGAAGUAUCGUUUAAAUAUAUACAGGGAGGUAGCAGGUUGAACAGGAGUGAAAGUGAAACCAGCAUUACUGUAUAAUUCAAAUCAAAACCAAAUAGGAAUAGUAGAAUAUGUGCACAUGGAUUACAGUGGCAAUGCCAUCCACCCUACAGUCAGACAUUAACUUGCAGCAAAUGGAGUGGUGACCCGAGUGUCUCUGGGAGGAAUAUGGCAGCCACACCACUGAUGACGGGAGCUCCUCCGUAGAUCAAACCAGGCAACCAAGCAUCUAAACUCAACGAGAAAAUCAUCCAUACUGAUAUUCAUUUGAAAUAUUCACCAAAGAAAUAUAUAGUUCUUGAUGGCCUGGUCGUAGUUGCUGCUGAUGACCAGCCAUCUUGAAGAUUCAUGAAACCACCUGAGUGACAAUUUGUUCAUAUUUUUAUUUUAUUUUAUUUUAUUUUUUUUUUGUUCAUAUUAUCCAAUAUGAUACUAUAUCCAUCCAUUCAUUUUCUAUACCGCUUAUCCUCAUUAGGGUUGCGGGUAUGCUGGAGCCUAUCCCAGCUGUCAUAUAAGACAGUUUAUCUUGUUUCAGAGCAUAAUCUAUGACAGACAGGAAGUGACGUUGAGAGUUCAGUGUUGAGUUUAAGCUUGUUUUGGGCUAAGGCGGCAAAAGUAACAAUUAUGAUUAUUAUGAUUAUUGUGAUUAUUGUGAUUAUUGUGAUUAUUGCGAUUAUUGUGAUUAUUAUGAUUAUUAUGAUUAUUAUGAUUAUGAUUAUUAU